rnacentral:rRNA from 1 species
GACGAACCGUGCGAACGUUAUUCGGAAUCACUGGGCUUAAAGCGCGUGUAGGCGGGCCGGCACGUCCGAGGCUGAAAUCCCCCGGCUCAACCGGGGAAGGGGCCCGGAUACGACCGGCCUGGAGGGGGGUAGGGGGCGCCGGAACUUCCGGUGGAGCGGUGAAAUGCGUUGAGAUCGGAAGGAACGCCCGUGGCGAAAGCGGGCGCCUGGACCCCACCUGACGCUGAGACGCGAAAGCCAGGGGAGCGAACGGG